GGUGAGUAACACGUGGGAACAUACCCUUCGGUUCGGAACAACGCCGGGAAACUGGAGCUAAUACCGGAUACGCCCUUUGGGGGAAAGGCUUGCCGCCGAAGGAGUGGCCCGCGUUCGAUUAGCUUGAUGGCGGGGUAACGGCCCACCAUGGCGACGAUCGAUAGCUGGUCUGAGAGGAUGGCAGCCACAUUGGGACUGAGACACGGCCCAAACUCCUACGGGAGGCAGCAGUGGGGAAUAUUGGACAAUGGGCGCAAGCCUGAUCCAGCCAUGCCGCGUGAGUGAUGACGGCCUUAGGGUUGUAAAGCUCUUUCGCACGCGACGAUAAUGACGGUAGCGUGAGAAGAAGCCCCGGCUAACUUCGUGCCAGCAGCCGCGGUAAU
rnacentral:rRNA from 1 species